rnacentral:rRNA from 1 species
AGCGAACGCUGGCGGCAGGCUUAACACAUGCAAGUCGAGCGGGCACUUCGGUGUCAGCGGCAGACGGGUGCGUAACACGUGGGAACGUACCCUUCGGUUCGGAAUAACGCUGGGAAACUAGCGCUAAUACCGGAUACGCCCUUUUGGGGAAAGGUUUACUGCCGAAGGAUCGGCCCGCGUCUGAUUAGCUAGUUGGUGGGGUAAUGGCCUACCAAGGCGACGAUCAGUAGCUGGUCUGAGAGGAUGAUCAGCCACACUGGGACUGAGACACGGCCCAGACUCCUACGGGAGGCAGCAGUGGGGAAUAUUGGACAAUGGGCGCAAGCCUGAUCCAGCCAUGCCGCGUGAGUGAUGAAGGCCUUAGGGUUGUAAAGCUCUUUUGUCCGGGACGAUAAUGACGGUACCGGAAGAAUAAGCCCCGGCUAACUUCGUG